CAGAGGGUGCUGGGCACACCCAGGCUCCCCAGGGAAUGGGGAAUGGGGUGAAGCUGUUCCAGGGAAGGUUUAGGAUGGAUUUUAGGGAAAGGUUUUCCUCCACAGUGCCCAGGCUUCUCAGGAAAUGGGAUGAAACUGCCAGGGAAGGUUUAGGAUGGAUUUUAGGGAAAGAUUCUUCCUCCACAGAGUCCCCAGGGAAUGGGAUGAAACUGUGCCAGGGAAGGUUUAGGAUGGAUUUUAGGGA